UUCCGGUUGAUCCCGCCGGACCCCACUGCUAUCGGGGUGGGACUAAGACAUGCGAGUCGUACGCCUCCCAGCCGCCGGGGGAGGCGUGGCGCACGGCUCAGUAACACGUGGCUAACCUGCCCUUGGGACGGGGAUAACCCCGGGAAACUGGGGCUAAUCCCCGAUAGGUGAGGAGGCCUGGAAUGGUUCCUCACCGAAAGGGCGUCGGGACCGUGCUCCCGACGUCGCCCAAGGAUGGGGCCGCGGCCGAUCAGGUUGUUGGUGAGGUAACGGCUCACCAAGCCUAUAUCCGGUACGGGCCGUGAGAGCGGGAGCCCGGAGAUGGGCACUGAGACAAGGGCCCAGGCCCUACGGGGCGCAGCAGUCGCGAAAACUCCACAAUGCGCGAAAGCGUGAUGGGGCCACCCCGAGUGCCGUCCGCUGAGGACGGCUUUUCCCCGGUGUAGACAGCCGGGGGUWAUAAGGAGAGGCAAGUCUGUGUCAGCCGCCGCGUAAUACCAGCUCUCCGAGUGUGGGACGAUUAUUGGCCUAAAGCGUCGUAGCGCUCGGCGUGUCUCCCGUUAAAUCCAACGAUCCAAUCGUUGGACUGCGGGAGGAUACUGCCGGGCUAGGGGGCGGGAGAGGUCGCGGUACUCUCGGGGUAGGGGUGAAAUCCUAUAAUCCCGGGAGGACCACCAGUGGCGAAGGCUGCCGUCUAGAACGCGCCCGACGGUGAGGGACGAAAGCUGGGGGAGCGAACCGGAUUAGAUACCCGGGUAGUCCCAGCUGUAAACGAUGCGGGCUAGGUGUUGGGACGGCUACGAGCCGUCCCAGUGCCGCAGGGAAGCCGUUAAGCCCGCCGCCUGGGGAGUACGGCCGCAAGGCUGAAACUUAAAGGAAUUGGCGGGGGAGCACCACAAGGGGUGAAGCUUGCGGUUUAAUUGGAUUCAACGCCGG
rnacentral:rRNA from 1 species